GGAAUAUUGGACAAUGGGCGAAAGCCUGAUCCAGCCAUGCCGCGUGUGUGAAGAAGGCCUUUUGGUUGUAAAGCACUUUAAGCGGGGAGGAGGGCACCACGGUUAAUACCCGUGAAUGUCGGACGUUACCCGCAGAAUAAGCACCGGCUAACUCUGUGCCAGCAGCCGCGGUAAUACAGAGGGUGCGAGCGUUAAUCGGAAUUACUGGGCGUAAAGCGCGCGUAGGCGGCUUGUUAAGUCAAAUGUGAAAUCCCCGAGCUUAACUUGGGCAUUGCAUUCGAUACUGGCAAGCUAGAGUAUGGGAGAGGAAGGUAGAAUUCCAGGUGUAGCGGUGAAAUGCGUAGAGAUCUGGAGGAAUACCGAUGGCGAAGGCAGCCUUCUGGCCUAAUACUGACGCUGAGGUGCGAAAGCAUGGGGAGCAAACAGGAUUAGAUACCCCAG
rnacentral:rRNA from 1 species